AUAUACUCAUACGUAUUUAAUAUAAUUCUUAUUUGUUUAAAGAUAUUUUAAACUUUUUUCUUAAUUUUAUUAACAACACGUUACAUACUAACGCGCAAUAAUAGCUUGAUUGCAUAUUUCGAUAGUAAAAUAUUAACAUUGAGAAAAACCAAUUUAUAUAUACAAUUUGUUAUCCGAGCGACGUAUCUGAGUACGGUCGAUGAAUCGCAUUUUAUUUCAUGAUGACGUCAUUAUCAUCAGAACAGCAUGUGCUAUUCAUGUUAAAUGGUAAUCAAAUCAUUUCCGUCUAAUAUUAAUGAUCAAACAGCAGCAUUGUUCUUCGAUUAGAUCAUUUUUGUACUGGAAUCUUUCUACUUUCAAAAAUAAGUAAUGUUAUUAAUCACACGAGAUGUUUAAUAUUUUCUGCGUUUGCUUUCAAUGAAUUUUUUAAAUAAUCUACAAUUAAUAUACUUUCUUAGCAAACAUGUAAAUGUUAAAAUGUGAUCAACUAUUAAUAGAAUCUAUUAUUUAUAUAUUUUAUAAAAUACUUAUUACAAGGCAUGAAAAAAUUUAGCAUGCGAAAGAAUAUGAAAAGACCUUCACAGAAUAAGAAAAGUGCUCAUUUAUUCUUGGAAUAAUCUCUCACGGUCUUUAUAGUUCUGAAAUUCUGAAAUAAAUUUUUAGCGCAGAUCUAUCUACAGGUUUCUUUGCGAUAACAUCAUGUAGCCAUGGAACACAAGUGCUAUAUGAUAACAUAUCUAUCGUAAUGACAGUAAUAUCUUAUUGCGUAUAUUGUAUAAGAUUAAAAUUCUGAAAAAAAUAGGAUUUAUUUCCAGUUUUUCUUUCUUCUUUUCUUAAUCUUUUUUGCAAUAUGUAAUAAUAUUAUCAGCCAUUAGAAGAUAAUCUUGAUGAAUAUAAAUAACGUUAGUCGAGAUACAUUGAAAUGUAAUUGGAUCUAAUUUAAAAAGGAGGGCAGUGCUCGCAAUCAAGUCUGUACUUUUCCACAUUCAACCUCUCUUCCUGUAUUAAUAUACAUAGUAUAGUAAUGAGACUUGAACUAAAUUUCUAAAUUAAUAACAUUUUUCUCUUAGUUUCUAAAAUAUUUAUUGAUUAUUAACUUUGUUUAAACUCGAUUCUUUAUAUUACUAUUCUUAUUUCUCGUUUUGGAAUUUAUAAUUAAAAAUAUAUGAAAUAAAAUAACAUUUUGUUAAAAUACGAAUUGGAGUGCUUAAAAUAUAAGUCUAUUAAGAGAGUCAUUAUGCAUUAGUCCCGAAAUUUUCUAGAUUCUGUACACAAAGCACUACUAAAGAUAUUUUCAAGCACAUUUAAAGCGUUUUAACUAGUGAAGGUAUUUUGAAUAUCUUUACUAGUUAAAAUACUUUAGAUAUGCUAAUUUGCGAUACGCGUAAUCUUUUUUCCUCAAAAGAUAUAAUCUUUGCGGUGUGUUUACAUAUCCAACUAGUAUAGUUAUAUUUAGCUUUGAGGAAGUUGAUACACCGCUAACAAGGAUAUAUGCGAAUUCACAUGCUUUUAGAAACCUACAAUUUAUGCACAAGAUAACGUAAGUUACUGCUUUUAAAUUAUGUUUCAGUGUACAUAUAACUGAAGAACUAAAGUUCAGUUUUAGAUAACAAUGAAAGUCAAACUCAAUUUCAGACAGGAACAAACCCUUCCAUCCAGAGGGAGCAGAGCUUCAGGAAUCCGCGAACCGCGAUUCUGAUCCGGAAUGAGAUGCCACCAAUCUGUCUCCAUGAUUUCUAUUAUGCACUAUCACAACUCAACGUUUCGUCAAGAUUUUCGCAUCCCAUGACAAACAACCGGCCGUAGAAACGGUUGCCGGGGUUCUUGACUCCCGUGACUGCGACACUUCGGCCUAUGCACGGAUCGAUAGGCAGCCCUAUUCUUGCAUUCUUGAAUGUAAAGUGUGAUUACGCGACCUAUCUUAUAUCGCGAGAAUCAUAUAUAUGUAUGCACAUUACUCAGGAAACAGACAAAAUGUUGCUACAUGUAGUAAAUAACAUAGUUAGUUCUAAUAAUAGCGCAGAUAGUUAUGAUUCACAAGCAUUAUAAAUCACGAUCUUAAUCAAGUUUCAUUUUCCUCUGCAGUUGCAGUUUGCGCAUGAUUCUCUCACACAGAGAAUUCCGAGUAAACGAAUCUUAUAGAUUUCGAUUACCUCGUCAUCAUCAAUAAUAUCAAUGAAACUCAUACGAGUUCUUCUAAUUUAAGAGUUAUAAUUUUAAAUACCUUGGAAGAGUUUUGAAAGCGGUUCUAAAUAAAAAUAAAUAAAAAUCUCUUCUGAAUAAAAAUAAAAAUUAUCUUAAUCCGAAAUUCAAUUUUCAUUUCGAUCAAUAAUUUCAAUUGAAAUUAGAUGUGUGCGAAUUCGGGGAAGAAUAAAAAAUCAGAUUGUAAAAAGCUUCAGGAUCGUAUCAAGCAGUAGGAACAUACCUGACUGCAACAAGUUUCAAGAUUGCGCAAGCACCGAAUGUUAUCGCAAGGACUUUGCAAAGUCAUCCUGUAACAAUGAAGAUGUUAAAAAUCUUGGUUUAUCUAUACAUUUUUUCAUCAUAUGUUUUGGAAUGAAACUGAUAAAAUCUGGCGAGUACUUUUCUUGGGAUCGUUUCGUUCUAUGCGAUCGGUCGUAAGUAAAUCAAUACUUUACGACAGGCCUAAUAGUGACGACGCAUAUUCUCCUACACAGACAAUGGAAA